rnacentral:lncRNA from 1 species
ACUGUUUUUAACAAAUUCUGCAUUUGCGGCAUUUUCGGGAGUGCUGCGUUCUUGCUUCUCUGUUGUUGUGUUCUUGCUUCUCUGCAUUUUUGUGUUCUUGCUUCUCUGCGUUGGUGUGUUCAGGUAUUAUUUUUCAAGUUUUUUAACUUAUUUGCUUCUAUAUAUGUUUCAUUUCAUACAUACUUAAGAUACUGUUUCACUAAAAAUUGUAAUGUUUGCUUCGAUUUGAUUUUUCCUCAACUUGUAUUUUAGUUAAAAAUUGAAAGGGUACUAUUACUACUAUAGUAGUAGUUUUAUUUUUUAAUUGUUACAGGUAUGUUGAUUUCAUUUGAAUUUAUACUUUUAAUUGUCAAUUUGGAAAACUCUAAAAUGUAUAUAAUAUAGUUUAUAGGGUUAAUGGUGCUUUAACCCCUGUAAUAUAGGUCAUUUUUGGUUUUCCCCCUGUAAAAUAUUUUUUUUUAUUUACCCCCUGUAAAAUAUAUUUUUUUUGGAAUACCCCCUAAUAGGUCAUAAAAAAACGAAGGGGUAAAUAAAAAAAAAAAUUACAGGGGGAAAACCAAAAAUGACCUAUAUUACAGGGGGUAAAGCACCAUUAACCCUAGUUUAUAUUUAGUUAAAUUCUUUUAUGAUGCAUUUCUUAGGUUUAUAAUUCCUUGUUGUAGUUAUUCCCUUAUAGGUUUAUGAUGCAUUUAUUUGCUAGGAUUGUCUCAUGGAGAUGCAAACAGUUACCCAAAGGAUAGUAGAGCACAAAUGCAUUCCUCUACAUCAAUUCAUACUCCAUGUCCUUUUUAGGUAACCAUAUAUAGAAAUAUUAUUGAUUAUGUUAUUGUAAUUGAGUUAAACUAGUUAAGUUUUGCUUGUUAAUAUAUGCAAAAAGUUGUUAGUAGUGACAUCACUUGGAAUGUAGGCAAAUGAAAUUGCGUGUGUAGGGUUUGGAUUUGAGCUGUGCGAAUUUAUGAUUACGUUUUUGGCUGAAUUGUUUAAGAUGUGUGUGCAGGGUCGGAUUCUGUUUGUGUUGCAAAACUUUAUGCAUAUAUUUUGUUUUGCCUGUUAAUAUACAUGCAAAAAGUUGUUAGUAGCGACAUCUCUUGGAAUGUAGGCAAGUGUCUGAAAUUGUUAACUUACGUGUGUAUGGUCUAAAUUAGAGUUGUGCAAAUUUGUGAUUACGUUGUUUGGCUGAAUUGUUUAAGAUGCGUACCCAAUGUUGGAUUUUGAUUGUGUUGCAGAAUUUUAUGCAUAAAUUUUGUUUCUACAAUUUGGGGUGUUUGUGCGAAUUUGUGAUUUAUUUUUCUGCAUUUUGUAUUUGUUUAUGUGUUCCAUAACAUGGCAUAAGUUACAGGAACUUAAAAAUGGGCUUUUAUGAUAGAAUAAGGAAGGGAAAUGUGUAAAACAAAUUUCCUAUUUGCGGUUAUGUUGAGUGUGUUUUACUUGUUGUUUUAGUUUUUAUUUGUGUAAGGUAUAACACUUGUUGAUGUAUUGACCGUACUUUGAACCAACAAUAUCUAUUGUUGAUGUAUUUUUUUGUUCUUAUGCAGCAAGGUAUCAAUGAAGAUGUUGAAAAGGAUGACAUAGAUGAGGAAUUUUAAGAGGAAGACAUAAAUGAUGAAUUUCUUGAGGACAACAUAGGUGAUGAAUUUCAGGAGGAUGAUAUAGAUGAUAAAUUUCAAUAGGAUUGCCUAGAUGAUGAAAUUCAAGAGGAUGACAUCAGUGAUGAAUUUGAAGUGGACGAAUUGGAUGAUGAAUUCCAAGAUAAACAUGAAUGAUCGAGUUGGAUGAUGUUUUAUUUUGGAUUAUAGUUAAACCAUUAAACUUGACCAAACUAUAGUUUUGUUAUUUUGCUAGGCUUAUACUUCGAAGCAUUAAACUUAUCAAGUAAUGUUCGUCAUUUUGAUUACUUGACCAAACUAUAGUUUUGUUCAAUUAAUGUUUGAACUAUUUUAUUAUAUUAUAUAUUUUGAGGAUGUUUUGCUAAAUUCGAUUC